GUGCUCACUUUGGCAACACAUAUACUAAAAUUGGAAUAAUACAGAGAAGAUUAGUGUGGCCCUUGUGCAAGGAUGACAUGUAAAUUUGUGAAGCAUUCCAUAUUUUG
ensembl:snRNA U6 U6 spliceosomal RNA